rnacentral:lncRNA from 1 species
UUCUAUGGUUUCUUUAAACUUCCUGUUGUAUGUUAAUUUUUCUUUAUGCAGUAUUUUUACAUUAUCUUUGUCUAUAUUACAGCUGUUUAGAGUACGUUCGUAAAAUGCAGAAUUUAUUCUAUUGUAUUUUAGGUCUGCUGUGUUCUUUCAAUCUAGUUUUUACCUUUCUUUUUGUUUCUCCUAAGUAAUAUUUUUUGUUUGCACAGAUACACGGAAUUUUAUAUACUACACCUUGGGCUUUCAAUCGGUAUUUGCUGAUUUUUCUUCAGGUUCGAGAUUAACAGUCUGUUCUCCAUUUUUUGAUAUAAUGGUGCUAAUUUGUAGUUUCUUUCUAUUUCUGUGCUGAUUUGUUCAUAUAGACCUUUAAUAUAUGGAAACUUAAUAUAUUUUGUUUUAGUUGCUUGUUUAUUUUUAUUUUUACAUGGGUUUCCUGGGUUAUUCAGUCUGGUUUCCCAUUGUUUUAGCAAUCUCUGCGGAAAUCCUGCUAGAAGAAAUUUCUUUCUUAAUUCCAUAAGGUCUUUGUUUAUGUGUGCUUCUUGGCUUGUCCAGUUUAUGAUUUUGUCAUAUUCCAUUUUAUAUAUAUUAUACUUAACGUAUGAUGGAAUUUUUUAUUGAUAUCUUAUUGUUACUUGGUUAGAACUCGGUUUCUUGAAUGUUCUAUAUUCGAGAUGUUGUUUUAAUCUUGUUAUUGUAAUGUCUAGGUACUUAAUGUUUUGUCUUGUUAUAUCUUCAGUCUCUAUUUUAAAUUUUAUUGCUUUGUGUAUACUAUUUGGCUUACCAUUAUUUUUGUUGUAAUGUCCAUUUCAAUUUCUCAAUGCUUGCACCUCACAUCAUAUGGCACACAUUUGACCUCAAAUUCCUGAUAUUCAAAUACUUCCAAUGUUUAUUAUGGCAUAUCCAUUGUCACUCCUCCCAUGGCAACCACAAUUCUACAGCUCCUGUAGAUUACUCCUGUUGCAAAAUGAUGAGUGAUUUGCAAACUGUGAAUACACAAAAACACUCUCUGUUUUGGAGUUGCCAUUUUCACUUACAUCCCUUUAUAGAGGUAGUAGACGAUGAGACAUCUGAAUGCAGGUGGGAGAUGAAACUCAGACAGUUACUCUAUUGAUUGGUGUAUAUUGCAUACUUCCCGGGUAGUAAUUAACAUAAUUACAGUAAUUUAAAAUGAUAGCAUUCAUUUUGGAAGACCCUGUAAUAUAGUAGUUUCUUCACUUUCCAUCUCACAGUACAACUGACAUUAAAAAAAAUCUCUUGCUCUUAUCUAUUUCUGAAUCUUUAUAUUAACUCAAAUAUUUUAAACCUGUUUAUAGCCUUUUAUAAACAGCUAUUAUAAUUAACUAAUUAAAAUAAAAUCUUGGCCUCAUAUUACUGCAUUAGUCUAUCAAUAUGAUUUGAAUCUCAUAAUUUAUUACUAGACAGUUUGUAUCAUCUCUCAUUGAUGUUGAUUCAUCCAUUUCAUACCUCAGCCAAUUGAAAUGGCAAAAAUUGGGCUUAGUCAUAAAUCUCAGAAAUGUUGCAUGUCAAACAUCAUCUGUAUUAAUUAGAUUCUCAUAUAUUGCAUGAUCAUGUACACAUGUUAAAAUAAUGCUAUAAAGUUAGAAUCAGCAAUUUACAUAUUAUAGGGCGACUCUUGGAUAAAAUUCAUCACAAGGAUAACUUCAUGAAUAAUCAAUAGAAUAUAUUUAAUUAAGCUCCUUCAUUGCAUAAAGUUAUCUUUUGUUCAUAGUAUUUUUAAACUUAUAAGUUGAAAAUAAUUAAAAAUACUAUAUUAGUAAUAUAUUUAUUUGAUUGUAAUGCGAUUUAUAAUUUAUCAUUAUUUCAAUUCAAGUUGAAAGAAAUUAAAAAUAAAGAUAUUUUAGGAACUUGUAACCCCUUCUCCAGAAGAACCUAAGAAAGGUUUCAUAGUACCGAAUGUCGACUUACCUCCGCUCUGCGCGUCGUUUUUUAAACCCGGUCCACCGAGCGAACAAGCUCAAGUAUUGAGUCAACAAAUUCAAGAAUUAAUUGAAAAUUCGGGUUGUAUUUUAAAAGAAGACCUCUGCAUAGAAGAAAAUAAAGUA